CCUACGGGUGGCAGCAGUGAGGAAUAUUGGUCAAUGGGCGAGAGCCUGAACCAGCCAAGUCGCGUGAAGGAUGAAGGCUCUAUGGUUUGUAAACUUCUUUUAUAUGGGAAUAAAGUGAGGCACGUGUUCCUUUUUGUAUGUACCCUAUGAAUAAGCAUCGGCUAACUCCGUGCCAGCAGCCGCGGUAAUACGGAGGAUGCGAGCGUUAUCCGGAUUUAUUGGGUUUAAAGGGUGCGUAGGUGGUUAAUUAAGUCAGCGGUGAAGGUUUGUGGCUCAACCAUAAAAUUGCCGUUGAAACUGGAGGAUUUGAGAAGAUUGGAGGAAGGCGGAAUGCGGGGUG
rnacentral:rRNA from 1 species